rnacentral:rRNA from 1 species
GACGAACGCUGGCGGCAUGCCUAACACAUGCAAGUCGAACGGAGAUUAUUUCGGUAAUCUUAGUGGCGAACGGGUGAGUAACGCGUGGGCAACCUGCCCUCUAGAUGGGGACAACAUCCCGAAAGGGGUGCUAAUACCGAAUGUGACAGCAAUCUCGCAUGAGGAUGCUGUGAAAGAUGGCCUCUAUUUAUAAGCUAUCGCUAGAGGAUGGGCCUGCGUCUGAUUAGCUAGUUGGUGGGGUAACGGCCUACCAAGGCGAUGAUCAGUAGCCGGUCUGAGAGGAUGGACGGCCGAAAUGGGGAUAAGACGAGGGCCAGACGCCUAGGGGAGGAAGCAGUGAGGAAGCGUACGCAAUGGAGGAAAGACUGACGGAGCAAAGACGCGUGAGUGAUGAGGAGAUUCGGUCCGUAAAGCUGUUUUGUUUAUGACGAAAGGACAGAUUGUGAAAAAUGAUAUGUAAUGACGAUAGUAAACAGAUAAGCCACGGCUAACUACGAG